rnacentral:rRNA from 1 species
UGGGGAAUCUUGGACAAUGGGGGCAACCCUGAUCCAGCGACGCCGCGUGGGUGGUAAGGCCUUCGGGUUGUAAAGCCCUUUCGCCGGGGACGAUGAUGACGGUACCCGGAGAAGAAGCGCCGGCUAACUCCGUGCCAGCAGCCGCGGUAAGACGGAGGGCGCUAGCGUUGUUCGGAAUCACUGGGCGUAAAGGGCGCGUAGGCGGCGGCUUAAGUCGGAGGUGAAAGCCCAGGGCUCAACCCUGGAACGGCCUUCGAGACUGGGCUGCUCGAGACCGGAAGAGGAGGGUGGAAUACCCAGUGUAGAGGUGAAAUUCGUAGAUAUUGGGUGGAACACCAGUGGCGAAAGCGGCUCUCUGGUCCGGAUCUGACGCUGAGGCGCGAAAGCGUGGGGAGCAAACAGGAUUAGAUACCCCUGUAGUCC